CUGAGGGUGUGCUUUAUCACCUACCUAACAGAAACGUCUCCCCAACACAAACAACUCAGCGCUCCACCUCACAGACUCAUGAGCGAACGGGCGUCGUUUCAAAGCUGAUGAUGAGGAUGAUAGAUCGUCGUUGAUUUAGGGUUCUGACGGGAUGGUUCUAGGCGGCCUUGCGACGGCGACAUCAACACCGUGGGGAAGCUAAUUUUGACUAAGUGGGUACACGGAUUGGUCUAAUAGUAACAGAGGAACAUCGUAAUAUGGAUAAUUAAGUCCCAAUCGAACCUGAUUCUCAUCUCGAAUCAAGAUUUUUUUUUGUAAUACGGCUCACUUGCGUUCCUGCCAAGUUAGGGUUCCAGUGAGUUUUCCGGUAAGUCGUAUUUCACAUGUUGAAGAUUCAGAACCGCUGAGGUUAGUGUAUGAUUUUAUGACAUGCAUUUUAUAUGAGAACUUUGUUUGAUGUUUGUUGUAAAUGGUUAACUGUAAGGAUGAUAUCACUGAUAUCAUGUAGAAUAAUAGAAAAACAAAACAAUUUUAAAUCAGUUUGGUUUUGGCCCUGUGCAAAGCAAAAGAAAGAACAAGAAAAUACAAUGAAGUCUUGAAGGUGUUGGAAUGUCUGCUUCCAAGAUGACAAAAACAGAGAAAGGUGUUUUUGUUGUUUUUUUAUGAUUAAAUUUGUAUGAAUAGUUUGAUGAUUGUGUUUACUUUGUACGGAUUUUGAUUUAUAGAUGUUUUUCGUAUUCAAUUUUCAUAUCUGGGUGUAGUAUAUAGUGUUUAAAUUUUUAACCUUUUGAAGUUUCUUGAUUUCUAUACUUAUCUCUUUAUGUUUUUACAGCAAGAAAAGGAGAUUCUCAUGAAGGCAUACAAUAGACUAAUUGAUCAUACUGGUUAUGUGCAAGCUUUUGUUUAUCCUCCAUGUGAUGAUGAAUGAUGGUGUUGUGGUCAUAAUGCGUCAUAGGGUAUAAACAAUAAAGAAAAGAGGAGCAUGAUGUGCAGGCCUAUUUGACUUUCAUUUGCGUGGGCAUGGUCUUUUAUAAUUUAUUAUGGUAUCGAUCGCUCUAAAUUGAAGGUGUUGGAACAACAGCUGCUGGGCUUAAAGCUGCGGUGAUGACGACGGCUAUAUGAUGGAUUGGUUGUUGUUCAACAUAGCAUACGCCCGCGAGGGAUUGCUACGCUGUGAGUCUUUUGUGUUACUCUGACAAUUACACUAUCUAUUACACCACCGGCGUAGGCUCCCCUAAAUUUGGUGUAGGCUAUGCUGGGUUGUUUUCAUACUAUUUUGUUUUAUAAUUUAAAUUAUAAGUUGAAUGAUUUUACUAACUUUGGAAUUUUGUAAUUGUUUGACUAUUAAUAUAUGCGUGCUAGGUUGUGUUUGAGUGUACGUGUAUCCAAAAAUUCACAAAGUUGGGGUCUUUGGGGUGGUUUACCCGACAAGAAAAGAGGCAAAGAAAUGAUGGUGUGGUUGGGUGGUUAAUAUAAUCACAAAGGGUGUCUAUAUUAUAUGUUUGAGUGGGGAAAAUCACCUUUAUAACAUGAUUCAUGUUUUGUUGUUUAAAUAGGCUAUGUUGCUGUAGUUGGUUAGCAAAACAAGAUUGAGUAGUAGCUUGCAUAAGAUUCAGCUGUCAAUGGAAAUCAAGCAGUUUAUAAAUAAUGUGUGGCUGCAACUGCAACUUAAAAAAAAACAAUUCGUUUCCUGGCGUUGCCUAAUCAAAAGACGGAAUGUGUGUGAGGUUCUCUACUUACAACCUGUUUGCAGCCUUGGUGGUCAAAGCGACAACCAAUUUUUAGAACAUGUUGAAUUACCAUGUAAAUAUCUCGAUUUACAGCUAAGAAUCAAUAUCGAAAAGUUAAAGAAUUCAUGGUUAUGCUAUUUGGUACGGUUUAACGGAA